UGGUGGUGUUGUGUACUCAGGUGAAUAAUGUGUUUGCGAUGUUACUCUGAGUGCAUAUCCACACCGGGCGAGCUUGAAAAAUAUGCCCGGCCACGGUGGGAUUCGAACCUACGACCUUUGGAAUACUAGCCCAGUGCUCUUCCAACUGAGCUACGCGGUCAGGACGGUUCGAGUAAGUGAUAUUUCGGAACAGUAUCUAGUUCCUUCAAUACCAAAGUGUUCUAGUAAUAUGAAUUUUUUUUCUGUGUUGUUGUUGUGUACUCAGGUGAAUAUUAUGUUUGCGAUGUUACUCUGAGUGCAUAUCCACACCGGGCGAG